rnacentral:rRNA from 1 species
AAUAUUGGACAAUGGGCGAAAGCCUGACCCAGCCAUGCCGCGUGUGUGAAGAAGGUCUUCGGAUGGUAAAGCACUUUAAGUUGGGAGGAAGGGCGGUAAGUUAAUACAUUGCUGUUUUGACGUUACCGUCAGAAUAAGCACCGGCUAACUUCGUUCCAGCCGACGCCGUAAUACGAAGGGUGCAAGCGUUAAUCGGAAUUACUGGACGUAAAGUGCGGCUAGCUAGGUUGAUUAGUUUGAUAGGAAAUCACAGGACCCAACCCGGCAACUGCCUUCAAUACUGGCAAGCUGAAGUAUGGGAGAGGGAGGUAGAAUUUAAUGUGUAGCGGUAAGAUAAGUACAUAUAGGAAGGAACAACAAAGGCGAAGGAGACCGCCUGGACUGAUUCUGACACUGAGGUGCGAAAGCGUGGGGAGCAAAC